CAUCAACUGUAUUGACAAGAGGCUUGAUUUAGUUGCCUACACCUAGAAAAUUUAGAGGCAGUAGUGGAUGGACAUACCUCUAUACUGCUAAACUGAUGUGCAAGGGCAGGCUUUGACACAGGACUCGGAUUUGGUCUGUCUGCCUAGGUGUUGGCCCACUCCACAGAUCAGUUUUGGUCUGCUUCCACUAGUCAUCUCCAGAUGAAAUUUGCCUUAAAGGAAACUAGCCCUAAGCAAUGUAGAACACUCUUUCUAAGUUAAAAUUCAUAAUUACAGUUCCUUUCUUCACCAUGCAGCUGUCCAAAUAACCUGUUUUUAUGAGGUUGAAACCAGUACACCAGCUACAGCUACCUCAUAAUGAAGCAGAAUGUGGUUCACAGGUACUAGCUCUGACAAGGACUGGAAAAUCACAGCACAGUGAUAUGAAGACUGCCUUUUGUUUGAGUAACUCUCUUUGAGAAAGUCUUUGAGAGUAAUUGCUAUUUUGUCUAAGUCACUGAACGGCAACCAUAAAAUUCCGUGUCAUUGUGUCUCUUGUAAUGGCCACCCUGACACUUGAUUGAACAAGGAUUGCACCUUUCUCUCUUGAAUUAUUUGAUGCAGAGCCUGUGAUCUAUAAAAAUCUAAAACAAUGUUAUUUUAUACAUUUAAAAAUACUGCACGCCCAGCUUUAAUUUAGUUUUAUUUGGAAUCCAAGAUAAUUAUCCCUGGAAUCAAUCUAUUUUAGAGAAAACAUUUUCAGCUGCAGCUGCAGGCAGAUAUUUCAGCUUCAGACACAAUAGCCAUAGUUAAUUAUCCAGUCAACAAUAAUUCUGUUUAGUCUGAGGAGAAAAAAGCCACCCAGGUUUUCAUUUUCAAGCUUUAAAUCAGCAAAUGCUGGAACUUAAUCAGUCUUUGUCUAAUGAUAAAUUAAGCACUGUAGAAAACAGAUUUCACUCCUGUCUUCUAGGGUGAAAAUUUAAAUUUACAUUUGCCUUAAAAAAAAUCCAAAUUACAUUUUUAGUAGCUACAAGAAAAGUGCAAUGAGAGAAGCUGGGAAAAGUCAUGCAUUACAAAAGAUCACACUUGGCAUGGAAACACCUUGAGAGAUUUUAGCUGGAAAAGCAGACAGAAAAUAACACUAAUCUAUUUAAUCACAAAUGCUUUACAGUUAAAAUGCAAGGCAAACAGUAAAAGAACCCUUUUUCCCUCUAAAGGGAGUUCACUACUAAUUCUGAAAUAUCUAGCA